GAAAGAAUAACUUGCACAAGAUUUCCAGAUCCAGAAAGGCAGAGCUGGAAGGAGGGAGUUCAGGCCAGGGACUCCUGAGUGUCUGCAGAGCACACACUUUUGCACCGCGCUCUCCUGGCCUUCCCACACCAAAUAAUAAAACUCGGCCCUACCCCCAUGCUGCUUUAAGUGUCAGCAAGAGGACCGAGUGGACACAACAUCCAACAGUGCAAGAUUCAAUGUCACUUGUUCAGCCCCCAUACCCAUUUCGUGCCCCCGUACCCAUGUCAUUCUGGGCACCACGUGAGGUGUAGGGACAUGGAAAUGACUCACACACAGGAUGCAGGAGGAGCUACGUGGAAAAGGAAAUGAUUAAUCAUGCCUGGUUUGGGCUCAGCGUUGACUCGUUUAUCAGUCUGGUUUUUAAGGGAUGGGUGAUGCUAGUGAGAAAAUGCAGUUCAGCAACCCCCCUUCCCGCAGACGUGCAGGGCCUCAGAGUCCCAGCUACACAGCAAUCAGAAGUCAAGGAGAGAAAGUUCCAAUAAAAGGAUCCUUAUUGCUCAGAACACUUCUAUGGCCCCUCCUUACCCAAGGAGUCAUUGACCAUCCCCUGCUUGAGCAGGUAAGUGUAGGAUGUGAAAUUAAAGGACCCAGGUUCAAGUCCUGCCCUUGCACUUGCUAGCUAUUCAACACUACUCAAAUUGACUCACUUCUCUCUCUUUCUAAAUUCUUUUUUUUUUUCAGAUUGUAUUUAUUUAUUCACGAGAGACACACAGAGAGAGGCAGAGACAUAGGCAGAGGGAGAAGCAGGUUCCCUGCCGGGAGCCCGAUGUGAGACUCGAUCCUGGGCCAAAGGCCGACCCUCAACCACUGAGCCACCCAGGAGCCCCUCUCUUUCUCAAUUCUUGUCUGCAAAACGGGAAAUACUUCCUGCCUUUUCUCCUUCUUGGGUUGCUGAGAGAAGAUGGAGAACACUCUUCACAGAUGAUCUUCAGUGUCAGGAGCACUGACUUUCAAGAGCCUUCACCAUCCAAGCCUGACUUCCCUCUCCAGACACAAAUCAUCAUUAUUCUGGCCCCACCCAGCUACCUGACACUUCCCGGACUUCAUCCUGUACAUGCAUGUCUUGGUGCUUUCACUUAAAAAUCUAUGCUCUUUGGGAUCCCUGGGUGGCGCAGCGGUUUAGCGCCUGCCUUUGGCCCAGGGUGCGAUCCUGGAGACCCGGGAUCGAAUCCCACAUCGGUCUCCCGGUGCAUGGAGCCUGCUUCUCCCUCUGCCUGUGUCUCUGCCUCUCUCUCUCUCUCUCUCUCUCUCUCUCUGUGACUAUCAUAAAUAAAUAAAAAUUAAAAAAAAAAUCUAUGCUCUUUCUUGAGAAGGCUCAUUUCCCGACCAUCUUCAUCUGUCCAGAUCCUGCCCAUCCAGGAAGGCUUCUUCCUCCAUGAUGUCUCUGCCACUCACCUCCCAGCCCCACAUCCCCAGGACUAACUGCAUCUUUGACAUCUGUGUUAUGCUGGGAAUGUCUCCCUCCCUGCACUCCAAGCUCCUUUCCUGGAUCCGGAUGGCUAAUCCCAACCUCGCACCACACUCUGGUACAGCCUAGGCCCUGUGCCAGGCAAUGGGGCUUUGGAGAGGAGAGAGACUCCAUCUCUACCAUAAAGAGGAGCACAAUCCAGUGGCAUCUGAGGUACCAAAGAGCACUUGGUAACUGAUUUACAGACUAGGGGGGCUAUAUUCAUGUAUUAAUUAUCUACUGCUGCAUAACAAAAUUACCCCCGAAAUUUAGCAGCUUAAGACAACAAACAUUUAUUAUCUCAGUUUCUAUGGUUCAGGAAGCCAAGAAUGGCAUGGCUAGGUCAUUCUGGCUCAAGGUCUCUUGUGAGGUUGCAAAUAAGAUGUCAGCUGGGCCUGUGGACAUCUAAAAGCUUGACUUGCCCUGGAGGGUCUGCUUCUGAGACAGUUCACACAUAUGGCUGUUGGCAGAAGGCCUUCGUUCCUCGCGGGCUGCUGGCAGGAAGCCUCAGUUUCCAGCCAUGUGGGACUCUCCAAAGGGCUGCUUGAUGUCUUCAUGACAUGUCAACUAACUUCCCCAGAGCGAGUGAUUCGAGAGAGAGAGAGAGAGAGAGAGAGCAAGGAGAAACCUACAGUAUCUUUUAGGAUCUAAUCUUGGAAAUGACACCGUCAAUUCUGCUGUAUUCUUUUUGUCAGAAGUGACUCACUGUGUCCAGCCCACAUUCAAGGGGAGGGAAAUUUAAGGAAGCAUAUCAAAAACUUUGGGACGUUUGGGGAAACCACGACAAUGAACUGGGUUUCUCGCUUCCAAUUUUGGCUCCACCACACACACCUCGUGACCUCCGCCAACCUCCUGGGCCUCAGUUUCCUUCUUUGUCAAAAAGGACAAUAACUUCUACUCUGCCUAAUUUAUUCAUUCGGCAAAUAUUUAGGUCCCUUCUAUGUGCCAAGUACUGUUCUGAUGCCUCAGAAAUACUGUGUAAAACGAGAAAAUUAAGAGCUCUGCUUUCGGGAGCCGAACUGCUAGUGGGGAGACAUUCUUUCGAAUAAAGCCAAGGGCUGGUAAAGGCUAAGAAGCGAAGCAGAACAGAGAGGGGGAUAGAGAGGGACAGAGGGUGACCAGGGAAGGUCACUAAGAGGGGCUGACUUUGAGAUGGAGAUCUGAACAAAGUGAAGGAGUGACUCGUGUGGCCGUCUCAGGGAAAAGCAUUCCAGGCAGAAGGAACAG
rnacentral:lncRNA from 1 species